AUUCAGCUAACGAGUCCCAAGUAGGACGAAACGCGCAUUCUGGAU
rnacentral:hammerhead_ribozyme from 1 species